rnacentral:rRNA from 1 species
GAGUUUGAUCCUGGCUCAGAAUCAACGCUGGCGGCGCGCUUAACACAUGCAAGUCGAACGGGAAAGUGGGCAACCAUGAGUACAGUGGCGUACGGGUGAGUAACACGUGGGUAAUCUACCUCUUAGUGGGGAAUAACCCUGGGAAACCGGGGCUAAUACCGCAUAAGCCUGAGAAGGGAAAGCAGCAAUGCGCUGAGAGAGGAGCCCGCGGCCGAUUAGCUAGUUGGGAGGGUAAAGGCCUACCAAGGCAGAGAUCGGUAGCCGGCCUGAGAGGGCACACGGCCACACUGGCACUGAAACACGGGCCAGACU